UCUCUGUGGCAUUUAGCUCUUCUGAGCACAUGCACAUUGUAUGGUACAGCUGUGUGGAUGUAGCUGGGCACAGUUAUUAUGCAGCAUCAGUCUGU
rnacentral:lncRNA from 1 species